AACGAACAAACGAUUCGCGAACGACUCCUCGUGGCGAACUGAAUCACGUGAACUGGGUCACGGAAACUAAUCAUUAAAUCCACCAUUAGGUAAAACACGACAUUGCACACUGUAUGUCCCAUGGGAUGGCAUCCCUUGGUGAGAAAAAAGGAUUAACCAAUCAGGUGAGGCAACCGUCAUGACACUGAGCCUCCUGUGAUUAGUCAGCAGUGUGCCAAGGGAAGCCUUCACACCAAUCAAAUGAAAGCAUCAACGUCAAGGUAAACAAAUAGCGGGAGAUUAGCACGUUUGCAUUUUUUUUUAUCAUAUUAUCGUAUAAGCAAGUGGAGUUAUGGAGGGUCGAGAUUUAGAGUAUUUAGUAAAUUGUACCAUACUGCCACAUGGGCAGCAACUAAAGAAUAAAUCUGGCGGCAGGCCAAUGCCUCAGCUUCAGCUGCGUGUGGAGAGAAAGAAGAGUGGUUAUCGCACUUUCAAUGAGGAGAACUAUGUCCGCACCGAGUGGCUAGCUGGUAGCGCUAAACUUCAGCUACUAUUUUGCUGGCCAUGUUUUCAUUUUGACAAAGAUUCAUGCCUCCUGAACAUUCCCUGGGUUACUUAUUGACCACUUCGCCACCAUGAAAGACAGGAGAAUGGCCUUCCUAUACAAAUAGGAGUGGCCCAGGGCCUCUGUUGCUGAUGCUGAUGAUGGACCUGGAGCUGGUGAUGGGUCUUCUGUUGCUGGUGCUGGAACUGCUGUUGGUGCUGGUGCAGGGCUCCAGACUAACUUUUUCACAGGGACCAGCUCAUAUAGUUAGGCCUCCUGCUCCUCUUACCCUGGGAGAACUGCUUAACAUCCUGCCUGGCAUCAUAGUCCUCGAGUUGUGGCCCCUCAACACUAAUACGGAUUAGGUCCUCAACAGUUUCAGUAUGCAGGCUUGAUCUAACAUCUGACUUGAUUCUGUUUACUGACGAGAAGCCUCUUUCACAGACUGCUGAAGAGAUUGGGAGCACCAGCAUGAUUUUGACCAGGUGUAGGAUAUUCUGCAAAAGACGAAGUGUGGUGAUCAAACCAACUUUCCAAAUCACCAAGUCAACAGUGACAAUGAUCAUGUAAUUUUUGAUACUACAGAUAACAGAGCCUACCGCAAAGUCUGAGCAGUAGGGCUCUUUUGUCGUCAUGACUUGCCACAGUCCAAGAUAGCUUUUGUCCUUGAAUGUCCUUGUUUAUCGUCAUUUUCAUCAGUUGGAACUCCUCUUUGGCCUUUUCUUUGCUGCAGCCAUUCCUGGCAUGAGAUGGAAGAAUGGCAGGAACAAGGAGGUCUGUAUCAACAUGAUUUAAUUUAUUAUGUCAACAUAAAUAUGAUAGCACACGAAAAACUCACCUGUCCAGGACAGUGGAGAAGUGUCGUAGGAGAAAGUUCACCUCUUCCACACCAUGGUUCAGGAGCUCCAGCCUAUGAUCUGCCCAAGAGUCAUGGCUGAAGACAUUGAAACACUUCACUGCCUUGGCUGUUGGUGCAUCCUUUGUGUUCUCUUCUAUCAGAAAAAAACAGACAGAAAAAGGUUAGGCCUCUCAACAGUGCUCUAAACAUGUCAUUGUGCCAAUGAUAUAAUGCUAAAAUACAACAACUCACCAAGUAGGCUGCUAAAUCUAUUCUUCAGGUGUUUCACCGUGGACUCACAGGUCAGCACAAUGGCUCUUUGCAGUCUGGGAGCACACUGGCUGAUUGGUUGACCUUCUGCCAGCUCUGCAGCUUCACCUUUAGAAAGCAUGACAUCCUGUGAAGCAUGCAAAAUUAAAAUGCUAUGUAUAUCUUAUUAACAUGAAAUAUACAUUCGAUUUUAUAUAAAGUAUAUUGUGUACCUGAUACUUGGAACGUCCCAGCCCCAGGUUCUCCUCCUCUCUGUUGGCGCUGCUUCUUCAUGGCUGCAAGGAACUCAGACAGCUUACCAUCAGGUUUGGGGCUAGCUGCCAUAGCUUCUAUGGUAGCCAAGAGAGAUUCGAUGCCACUAACAGCCUGGGAAGACAGUUUUGUUCUUAAUAUAAGCAACAUGUUAAGGGGAAUAUAAAAGUAAUCCCCUGGCCUCCUUUUUCUCUCUUCUUUACCUGAGGUAGGAUUACAUUGUUUUUCUGAAGCUGCAGGCUGAAGUUGCUGAUGGAAGAGAAAAGGUCUGACAGGAAGUGGCAAAAUGCCACAUGUCCCAUCCUCCAUGCUGACUUUGACCUGCAAAUAUGUAGUUCUGAUUCUCAACUCAUAAAACACCAAAGUUAAAAUGUUUUAAAUAAUUGAUUUAUACUGUCAACACAAAACACUGAGAUAAGAUAAUACUUACCUUCUUUGCUCUGCCAGCUAUCUGCACUGGCCGAGGCACCUGCCAGAUGCUCCAUGUGCACAUACACGGCUGUAAACUGGCCAGAGGAAUUACCAUCCUUCCCUGGUUUUAGGAAGGUCCUCAAACUCCGGGACACAUGGGGCAGCCACCUGGUCCCUUUCACUCCACUCGGUGCAUUCACUGUGACUGUUCAGCUCCAAGUGCUUUGAGUUCCCUCAUUGAUUUAGGGGUUAGGUGGUAUGUUUUCCAGAUGAGGUGCAACAGGUCAUACACCUGCCCAAUCAUGGAGACCUCUCUUUGCACCCUCAACAUCCCUAGCUCCAAUCUUUACAGAAAAUAGAUAUAUAUUUUUUACAUUUUAAUUACACUUUGGAGAAUGAAUAUGUAUGGCAGAUAUGGUAAAAGGGAACCUACCUGUGUGGCAUGCAGUGGAAUGGGACAAUGAAGGACCCAAUCUCUGCUUGAAGGAGGGCUAUCACUCCACCUCUGUGUCCCAGAUUGACAGCUGCACUGUCUGCACCCAUGGCUACAAUUUUUUCCGCCCAGUUCUUACAAGGCUUUCUUGGCUGCAGCAUAAACGCCUUAAAUUAAGCACAUAACAUGGAAUAUUUAUAUUCUCUCUCUCUCUCUCCCUCUACACACACACGCACGUUAUUGUGUGUGUUUUUUAAGAUACCUGGGCAUGAUGGCAUCAAAUAAUUUUAUUCUAAAGGAAUUUAUAAUUAACCUGUAGAGCAUUUUUCCAUAUAGUUAUUAUCAUUUAGCUAUAUGAAACAGAAAUGAGACACACUCCUUAACUUCUGCAUGGGCGUGUUCAACCUCAAUAUGGCCAAUAAGAAUAUUGCACGGUUUUCCAUCUUCAACGAUACGGGCAUAUAUAAUCUCGCACUCCUUGGUGGAUUUGUCAGUGGAACCGUCAAGUAUGAAUGAGAGGUAGGGGGCGUGUGCGACUUUGUCGGCGGUCUUUCCCUUGAGUGUGUCUGCUAUAACAGUGGUUCCCAACCUUUUUUGACCAGUGUACCCCUUGAGCUGGUUUCCAUGUUAAAAGUACCCCCUCUCUCAUGUGGAUUAUUCGCCUUAAUGUGUACUUAUUUUUAACCCUUUGUCUUUAUAUCUAAUCCACCUGCUCAUUUAAAUAAUACCAUAUACAAUCAUUGUGAGUGGAAAAAAAUACCUUUUAUUCAGUUUAAUGAGACACUUGCGCUUGCCUGUCUUUCAAAAGCUUUGACAUUUCUGGGGGCAGUGUGGCAACAGCCGCCAACAAGCUGCUCUCCACAUUCAGUCUGUUUCUCUGCUUGGUUUUGAUGUGAGUCAGGGCUGAGAAGGUCACUUCACACAUGUAAGUUGAUCCAAAAGGUAAUAGUUAAUUUAAUGCACAUUUCCCCAGCUCAGGAUUUUCCUUUUCAACUUCACACCAAAACUCAGUCAGUGACUUUUCAGCAUGUGCCAUCUUUUGCAUACGAUCAAAGGACAAAUCCACCAGGUUUUCCUGCAGUCUGGCAGGAAGGCUGCUGCUGCUCUCAGUCCCUCUGAAGGGGUUCCUCACCCAGUCCAGUUGCUCUGACUUUUCUUCGAUGUCAUGGAAGUACUGGUUGAAGUCAGUUUGGAGUUUGGAGAGAUGUGUUCUGAUGAUUUUGACUAAAGGAUUUUUUUCAGCAUCAGUGGUGACAAGAUGGGUAACAACGAGUGGAAAACAGCUCACAUCUCCAUUGUUGCAUUUCUUCUCCCACAAGGUGACUUUAUGUAUGAAUCCAUUCACUUUGUCAUACAUGUUAAGUAUGUGUGCGUCCUUGUCUUGAA